rnacentral:rRNA from 1 species
GACGAACGCUGGCGGCGUGCUUAAUACAUGCAAGUCGAACGCAGUGGGGACGGGUGAGUAACACGUGGGUAACCUCCCAUCAGAGGGGAUAACACUUGGAAACAGGUGCUAAACCGAUACUGAUGGACGGACCCGCGGUGCAUUAGCUAGUUGGUGAGGUAACGGCUCACCAAGGCCAGGAUGCAAAGCGGAGCUGAGAGAUGAGUCGCCCACACUGGGACUGAGAAGCGGCCCAGUCUACUACGAGAGGCAGCAGUAGGGAAUGUUAGGCAAUGGACGAAAGUCUGACCGAGAAACGCCGCGAGAGUGAAGAAGGUGUUCGGAACGUAAAACUCUGUUGUGAGAGAAGCGGUAUCUAACCAGAAAGCCACGGCUAACUACGUGCCAGCAGCCGCGGUAAUAC